GGGGAUUUAGCUCAGUGGUGCAGUGCCUGCCUGGCAAGCAUGAAGCCCUGGGUUUGAUUCCCGGUACCA
rnacentral:tRNA from 1 species